AAAUAUUAUAAACUAAAGGUUUAUAACUAUACUCGAUAGUCGGUUCAGAUUACGUAGAUAGUUGUAUAAAAAACAUAACUGAGCGAAGCUUUAACAGGGUUUUACGAGAAUAAAUAAAUAUCGAUAUAGAUAAGUAAUUAAUGUUGGUAUUAGCUCAUCUACUUAUAUCCAUAAAAUAAAAAAAAUUGUGUCUACCUAUGUCCGUUAUAGACUUUGGUUUCAAAGUCCAACUGAUGUGCCCCAAACCGGUUUCAUUAUAAAAGGCAAUAAUGUGAAGACCAUUUUUAGACCACUAAAACAACGCAUUAGGUACAUUCGGACCAUUAAUUCUGUUUAUUCGCCAA